AGAGAGCAGGUUAGAAAGGGAAAGACACAGACAAACAGACAGAUGGAGAAACAGGGAGAGAGAGGGGAAAGCCAGGAUAGACGUGGGGGCAGGGGGAGAGAGGGGAAAGCCAGGAUAGACGUGGGGGCAGGGUAGAGAGAGGGGAAAGCCAGGAUAGAUGUGGGGGCAGGGAGAGAGAGGGGAAAGCCAGGAUAGAUGUGGGGGCAGGGAGAGAGAGGGGAAAGCCAGGAUAGAUGUGGGGGCAGGGAGAGAGGGGAAAGCCAGGAUAGAUGUGGGGGCAGGGGGAGAGAGGGGAAAGCCAGGAUAGAUGUGGGGGCAGGUAGAGAGAGGGGAAAGCCAGGAUAGAUGUGGGGGCAGGGGGAGAGAGGGGAAAGCCAGGAUAGACGUGGGGGCAGGGGGAGAGAGGGGAAAGCCAGGAUAGACGUGGGGGCAUGUGGGGGGAGAGAGGGGAAAGCCAGGAUAGACGUGGGGGCAGGUAGAGAGAGGGGAAAGCCAGGAUAGACGUGGGGGCAGGGAGAGAGAGGGGAAAGCCAGGAUAAACGUGGGGGCAGGGGGAGAGAGGGGAAAGCCAGGAUAGACGUGGGGGGCAGGGGGAGAGAGGGGAAAGCCAGGAUAAACGUGGGGGCAGGUAGAGAGAGGGGAAAGCCAGGAUAGACGUGGGGGCAGGGGGAGAGAGGGGAAAGCCAGGAUAAACGUGGGGGCAGGAAGAGAGAGGGGAAAGCCAGGAUAGACGUGGGGGCAGGGAGAGAGAGGGGAAAGCCAGGAUAGACGUGGGGGCAGGAGAGAGAGGGGAAAGCCAGGAUAGACGUGGGGGCAGGAAGAGAGAGGGGAAAGCCAGGAUAGACGUGGGGGCAGGAAGAGAGAGGGGAAAGCCAGGAUAGACGUGGGGGCAGGAAGAGAGAGGGGAAAGCCAGGAU
ensembl:lncRNA